GUGGGGAAUUUUGGACAAUGGGCGCAAGCCUGAUCCAGCAAUGCCGCGUGCAGGAAGAAGGCCUUCGGGUUGUAAACUGCUUUUGUACGGAACGAAACGGUCCUGGCUAAUACCUGGGGCUAAUGACGGUACCGUAAGAAUAAGCACCGGCUAACUACGUGCCAGCAGCCGCGGUAAUACGUAGGGUGCAAGCGUUAAUCGGAAUUACUGGGCGUAAAGCGUGCGCAGGCGGUGAUGUAAGACAGAUGUGAAAUCCCGGGGCUCAACCUGGGAACUGCAUUUGUGACUGCAUUGCUGGAGUGCGGCAGAGGGGGAUGGAAGUCCGCGUGUAGCAGUGAAAUGCGUAGAUAUGCGGAGGAACACCGAUGGCGAAGGCAAUCCCCUGGGCCUGCACUGACGCUCAUGCACGAAAGCGUGGGGAGCAAACAGGAUUAGAUACCCUAGUAGUCC
rnacentral:rRNA from 1 species